rnacentral:rRNA from 1 species
GACGAACGCUGGCGGCGUGCUUAACACAUGCAAGUCGAACGAUGGUGCCCAGCUUGCUGGGUGGAUUAGUGGCGAACGGGUGAGUAACACGUGAGUAACCUGCCCCUGACUCUGGGAUAAGCGUUGGAAACGACGUCUAAUACUGGAUAUGAUCACUGGCCGCAUGGUCUGGUGGUGGAAAGAUUUUUUGGUUGGGGAUGGACUCGCGGCCUAUCAGCUUGUUGGUGAGGUAAUGGCUCACCAAGGCGACGACGGGUAGCCGGCCUGAGAGGGUGACCGGCCACACUGGGACUGAGACACGGCCCAGACUCCUACGGGAGGCAGCAGUGGGGAAUAUUGCACAAUGGGCGAAAGCCUGAUGCAGCAACGCCGCGUGAGGGGUGACGGCCUUCGGGUUGUAAACCUCUUUUAGUAGGGAAGAAGCGAAAGUGACGGUACCUGCAGAAAAAGCACCGGCUAACUACGUGCCAGCAGCCGCGGUAAUACGUAGGGUGCAAGCGUUGUCCGGAAUUAUUGGGCGUAAAGAGCUCGUAGGCGGUUUGUCGCGUCUGCUGUGAAAUCCCGAGGCUCAACCUCGGGCUUGCAGUGGGUACGGGCAGACUAGAGUGCGGUAGGGGAGAUUGGAAUUCCUGGUGUAGCGGUGGAAUGCGCAGAUAUCAGGAGGAACACCGAUGGCGAAGGCAGAUCUCUGGGCCGUAACUGACGCUGAGGAGCGAAAGCGUGGGGAGCGAACAGGAUUAGAUACCCUGGUAGUCCACGCCGUAAACGUUGGGCGCUAGAUGUAGGGACCUUUCCACGGUUUCUGUGUCGUAGCUAACGCAUUAAGCGCCCCGCCUGGGGAGUACGGCCGCAAGGCUAAAACUCAAAGGAAUUGACGGGGGCCCGCACAAGCGGCGGAGCAUGCGGAUUAAUUCGAUGCAACGCGAAGAACCUUACCAAGGCUUGACAUACACCGGAAACGGCCAGAGAUGGUCGCCCCCUUGUGGUCGGUGUACAGGUGGUGCAUGGUUGUCGUCAGCUCGUGUCGUGAGAUGUUGGGUUAAGUCCCGCAACGAGCGCAACCCUCGUUCUAUGUUGCCAGCGCGUUAUGGCGGGGACUCAUAGGAGACUGCCGGGGUCAACUCGGAGGAAGGUGGGGAUGACGUCAAAUCAUCAUGCCCCUUAUGUCUUGGGCUUCACGCAUGCUACAAUGGCCGGUACAAAGGGCUGCGAUACCGUAAGGUGGAGCGAAUCCCAAAAAGCCGGUCUCAGUUCGGAUUGAGGUCUGCAACUCGACCUCAUGAAGUCGGAGUCGCUAGUAAUCGCAGAUCAGCAACGCUGCGGUGAAUACGUUCCCGGGCCU